rnacentral:lncRNA from 1 species
AGCCAAAAUAUAUGUCAAAUUUUAAAUCUGUCAUAAAUAAGUCGGGUGAUGCUGUUUUGUCGUAAAUAGCCGAAUGUUCCCGAAAGGGACGCCGGAAGGCUGACUUUGCAUAAACAGCCACCUUUGGGUCAUUUUUCAAGGUUUGGUCCAGUCGACCCACACAACCUUAAAAUCUUCGUCACUGAGGCGUUGAAAGGUCGUGUUAGCAAUAUUGAGUUUUCUAAUUUGAAAAAAAAAAUGAUAAAAAGAGUCAUAAAUAAGUCAGGUGAUGCUGUUUUGUCAUAAAUAGCCGAAUGUUCCCGAAAGGGACGCCGGAAGGCUGACUUUGCAUAAACAGCCACCUUUGGGUCUUGUUUAGUAUUUUUGUCCAGUUGACCCACACGGCCUUAAAAUCUUCGUCCUCAAAGUGUUUAAAAGCCGUGUUCAAA